rnacentral:rRNA from 1 species
AGUGAACGCUGGCGGUAGGCCUAACACAUGCAAGUCGAACGGCAGCACAGUAAGAGCUUGCUCUUACGGGUGGCGAGUGGCGGACGGGUGAGGAAUACAUCGGAAUCUACUUUUUCGUGAGGGAUAACGUAGGGAAACUUACGCUAAUACCGCAUACGACCUACGGGUGAAAGCAGGGGAUCUUCGGACCUUGCGCGAUUGAAUGAGCCGAUGUCGGAUUAGCUAGUUGGCGGGGUAAAGGCCCACCAAGGCGACGAUCCGUAGCUGGUCUGAGAGGAUGAUCAGCCACACUGGAACUGAGACACGGUCCAGACUCCUACGGGAGGCAGCAGUGGGGAAUAUUGGACAAUGGGCGCAAGCCUGAUCCGGCCAUACCGCGUGGGUGAAGAAGGCCUUUGGGUUGUAAAGCCCUUUUGUUGGGAAAGAAAAGCAGCAGGUUAAUACCCCGCUGUUCUGACGGUACCCAAAGAAUAAGCACCGGCUAACUUCGUG